UUUACAACAGUAAGUACUUACUUACGGCUCGUGCGCGGAGGGCUGGUGGCAUAACAACCGUAUGAUACGUUGAUAAACACAGUUCGGUCGAAUAUUCUAUAGCGUGUUACUGGGUUGAAUGAGUUUUCGAAUGUCACAUGUCAUAUAGUUGUUAUAUGUGGUGGAGCAAACUAGUUAAAAUACAAUUUGAACAAAUUUACCUAUACGUAUUAGCAUCCUAAUGUUUCGAGUUCCAAUCAUCGCUAAUGAGAUAAAAAUGUUAGGUAGGUACAUGCAAAGCAAUAUUUGUGGCCUUUUUAGUAGUUAUUUGUUAAUACAAAAGCGUGGGCCCGGGGAAUUUCACAUUUUAAUUUAAAUGUAAGUAUUUCUAAAAUAAAAAGUAUAAUAGGGGGCUAUUCAUAAAUUACGUCAUUUCAAAUUAGGGGGGGGGGGUCUGGACAUCGGAUGACGGUAGCAUGAAGUAGGAGGAAAUGGGGUCAUUUGAAGCAUGAUUUUUGGAUUAUUAUAAGGGGGGGGGGGGAGGGUCAAAAAUCCUCAAAAAUCGAUGACGUAAUUUAUGGACAGCCCCUAGGUAUUCGUUUUUCACAAUACUAAAAAGUUAAAAAAAGGAGUAAAGUAGGUAUAGCUUCGUUCUGUUUCUUCCUUUCUCUUGAGUUUCAACGUACGGCGUGUUUUUGUUUAUUGGGUGGGUCCACGGUUUCAAAAUAGUAUAGCCUUAGUAUGAAUGUAGUAUUCGUAACGAAUAGUGGCCUAAAUAAUGUAAUUUGUUUCAAUCCAUUUAAUUAUAAUUUAUAGAAAGCGCAUAACGCUUGCCCACGUUUAACUACAUACUACAUAGCGCUAAAUCUCUCUAUGUGCCUACAGAACUGGCGCUGUGGAUGUCCCUCGGCUAGGUAUAUUUAGGUACGAUGUAAGGGAAGAAUAUUCCAAGUCGCUUUGUAAUUUUUUACGGGUACUGUAACCUAUUCGGGUAAGCGAUGGACCAUUUGGACAGUUACUUAUACAAAAAAAUAAAAGUCUAGCGAGAGCUUCGUACUUUUACAGCAGAAGUUGCUAAGCGAGCGAGGUGUUCAAAAUGAUCUUGACGCGACUUUAUUGCUAACAGAAUAAGAGCGUGUCAAGGUAAUUUUGAACACCUCGCUCGCUUAGCAACUUCUGCUGCUGACUGUACGAAUUGUUUGAUACGACGUAAGCAACAACAAAGGGUAAGUACGUACGAACAAAUAGGUACGUCUCAUUGCUAAGAAGGAUAGUUUUUUGGCUACAACUGGCUGGUACAAGUACCUAUAGAUUUUUGUAUAACUAAUUACUUGUAGAUCUAACCCUAAAUUAUAUAAUUAUAGAAUCUCGGAAAAAAAUGCAGUAGAAUCUCAAGAAGAUAAUAAAUAAAAAAUAUACUAUACGUAUUAACAUAUUUAAUCAUUAAUAUUUUAUUACAUUAAUGUUUAAUAAUCGUUGCAAACCCGUACGGGCCGGAAUUAGCAAAAAAAAUGUGUAAUAAUCGUGAAAGUUUAAAUCAGAAUUAAUAUCAAUUAUUAAUUAUUAAUUCUGAGUUUUUAUUAUUAGUAUCAAUUAUUAUCUAAUAUUUUCCGUUGGAUUUGUUUUGUAGUUUUAGUACAGGAGCUAUUUGAUUUGUUUGCAAAGUUAUGUUGCACUUUGACUUGUCUUAAUAAAGCCUGUUAAAUCUAAUUUUAAUUGUUUAAUGUACUGAGUUACAAUAUUUUUUACAGUACAUGUGGUGCGAUAAUGAGCACAUUACGUACCUAACUAUUAUAUCGAUAAUUUAAAGGGUCAUAUGUAGGUACAAUGUAAAACGUUGUUAUAUACAUGUGUGAAUAGGUAAUUCGCAACACAACCGAAGGGAUUUAUCGCCACUCGUUGCAAAUUUCCUAUUUUUCGCACUUGUAGAAUGUUAAUGUACUAUUGUCGUAGGUUACGGACACCCGUAACCCGUAACAUAUUUUUGUACUCGUCGACUGUAAUUCAUGAAUUAAGAUUUCGUAUACCAAACUGCAAUUGGGUAUUUUUAAUGUAUGGGCUCCCAACUCACCGCGGCAGCCGGAGCCCGUACCAGUAUAAAGGUAUCGCGGAUGCUUGCGUAUCUUAGCUGUAUACUUUUUGUUUGGUUUGUUUGUAUGAUUCUACUAGUUUAAAGUAUUAUUUUUGUUGACUCGUAGAAAAAGUAUUUGAUAUAAUCAAGCUUUUCAAUCUCGUACCUCACUUAGGCAACUCAGCAAGCUUCGCUGCCUAAACACGGUACUCGACUGAAAAGCUCUCUAUUAUAUCACGAUUGUAUAAAAUACUACUAUUGCAGAUAGUAAAUUAAAUGUAAGUACCCAAUUCGUAUUUACAGUGUGACAACACGUUCGUAGCCAAAAUAAGCGUUUCACGUGUUUUUACUACAUGCGUAGGUAAACUGGAACAAAAUUUGUUACCUCUAUUUAAUAGAGGUAACUUUUACUAAGGAAGGAGUCUAUGUUAUAAUACUUAUACUAUACGUAUACGGAGUGUUGUGUGAGAGUUGGCACAAUGUUCGCAGUAUAUACUGUAUCGGCAAUUAAUUCACGAUAUGUACCACUUACAUACGUCCACACGGUGAGAUUUUGCACUAGAAUAAUUAUAGGUUAGAGUAAUUUUGUGCAAUAAACCUUAAAUUUAUAAAUGUUACUAUGUAGUCAAUAUAUUAUAAAAUCAUUUAACUAAGGUUAAAGGAGACAUUAUUAGGGCUGCCAGUACCAGGGGUGCGAAACUCCUGACUUCGGUUAAACUCGGCACCGCUCGGCUCAACAUUGCUCCGAGCAAUUAUUAGGGUUGGCACCACUUGACUUCCUUUUGCGUGCACGACCACAGAUAAGAUAAUCACUUGAUUUUUGACAACCCUAAAAUAGCCGAAAGGGAUAGUGCCAUAUAUUAGAAAGAGACAGCAUGAUUUGACCCUGAACCGCUGUCAAACUUCGGUUUUGUAGGAAGUUUCCUUUCUGUACGGUAGUACUAUUAUGUAAUUAUUAUGUGCCAGUACAUAAAUCUUGAUUAUACAAUCCAGUGUGCAGUGCUUGCAACUAUACGAAAUUCGAUUGCGUUAUACGAGUACAUAAUUUUAAAAAACUAUUAAUUUUAAAUCGAUAUUUCAUAAACCGGUUAUGAUACUCGUUAAAAUACUCAGAACAUAUAUAUUAUGUGGAUAGUUUAAAAAAAAGACCAAAACUUAGUCGAAUCUUGUAAUAUUAAACAAAACUCGUUUUAAAUUUAAUCACCCAUUCCAAGAUUCUAAAUAUGUACUUUGUGCAAUAUACGGUGGUGAAAUGUUGUAGAUCCGUUGCUCAUUGCGUUAUUAUUAGUUGUGGGGCGUCAUGCAUACCUAUUUGUUAAGCAAGCCGGUGCUAAGUUGGCCCGAUUUUUUCUUUAAAACUUAUAAUAAUAAGCUGCUCAAUGGUCUUAAAUUAGGAAUGCCGGGGUGGGUAUCUGUUUGUUUGGAUGCAACGCCAUUACUCCGUAUAAGUAAGCUAAAUUGAUCUACGGAACAAGAUUUCCUAGGAAACGAUAAAGAAUGAGUUUCGCUCCCGAGUGCAUUAGUAGGUACAUUGUGAUACAGUCGCCAUCAGAUAUAUCGAAGCGGCCAAGGGUAUUCACAAUAUCUGAACACGCGCUCUAGUGCCUUGACAAUAGAGGCGUGUUGAGAUAUUUGUGAGCGGCUUAGCUGCUCCGAUAUAUCUGAUGGCGACUGUACAAGCCUGCUCCGUUGUCUUACACACGAGCCGAUAUUGUGUGUAAUGGUAAUUCGGUUUCAUACGACGUUUUACAACACACCUGCGAGGAAAAAACAAACUUUGUGAUUUGUGUUUUGUACAAUAAAGAGUUUAUACUCGUAUAUACAUUACAUACUUUCAUAUUAAUCAAAUUUUAAUUGUUAAAACAGUUACAGUCUAACACUAACACUCCGCGAUUUCGUCGCGACGCAACAAGUAGCUACUUACAAGUACAUCCGUCCCACACCAAUUUUGAUGGCAAGCCACAGGCCGCGCGUGGCGCUUGCGCCACCUAGCGGUCAUAUCUGUCCUAACCAUAACAGACGCGUUUUGUGAGAGAGUGAGUGUGAUGAGCUUCUGUACCUAGUCUAGUACUUUUAGUCCGUAGUUUUGUAACUGAGCCCGAGCUAAUACUAUUGUCUAUUGUUAAGUAAAACCGCUCGUGCCACGUGCCACAACCACCUGCAUAAAAACCUGCGUAAUUCGGUUACUGAGUGCCGGCGAGUCGAACACUACAGAACCAGUCUAAAAUGUGUCAUGGAGAUGCGUAACAAAGGCGCGUUAUCGGAGAGCGCACCUACACUGGUUUUUUGAGCGUUGGACCAGCCCGCGCUCAGGUGCCAAAUAGAAUGAGUAUGACCCUUUUUUGCAGGUAAGUAGCACGUGCGGUUUUACUUAACAAUAGACAAUAGGAUUAGCCGCCGGGCUCUGUUACAAAACUACGCACUAUACUACUAGUUAUUCUGUGGCCGGAACCCGGCAGGCGGUCGGCCGGGCGCCGGCGCCCUCCAGUCCUUGUUUUAAAAUCUACUCGACCAAUUUAAGAAGCCUCCGUUUCCAUGCAUAUUAUUAGCAAUCAGAUACCUACCUUCUUAAGUCAGCCGGAUUAACAUUCAUUACCUAACAAGUGCUAUAAUAUAAUGAAAAUGCACUCGUGUUUAAUAUAUAGGAUUAUGAGCCCAAAAGCGGUUCAAUAACUUAAACGUUACAUUCUGAAGAAAGUGCAUGUGCUUAUCUGUAAUUAUUUUUAAGUUCUUUCGCUUUUACUGAACUGUGACGCGGUGGACAAAGUUAUGUUAAAGGGCAAAGUUUUAUACUUUUACGGUACCCAAACAAAACCAUGGUUGUGUCGUAUAGCAGCACAGAUGCCUGCUAAGUUUAAACCCAUGGGCUUGAUCCCAGCCUGUCCAGGAAUGAUCUAUUCCCAGUGGUGGUGAAUAACGCUCAUUUCGAGGCUUAAAUACUCGAACCCUUAAGGCUCUCAAGGCUUAUGGCCUUAAAGACGGCAAAUACGAUUUCUUACAUCUAUACGCGUAAAAUAAAUAAAUACAAUUCUCAAAUAUAGUCGAGUCUUCAAAACUUACGAGGCUUGAGGGCUCGAGUCUUUAUGACUAAAAAUAAGUGAUAUUCACAACACUGACUUUUCCUCUAUAUAGUGUAGCAUAAGGAUUAUAAACAAUAGCGCUUAUAUUGAAAUUUAUGUAAUAAAUAAUAAUACACAAUGUUUAAACUAUGAAUAUUAUACUAUAAUGAUUUUUAAUUUCAUUGUAAAUGAAUAUGAGGCCGUUUAGAAGAAAAAUUUGCAAUAAACAGUCGAUAAAUCCUGAAUUAUAAAGGAUGAUUUAUGAGACUAGAUAAGAGACGUGAUAUUAACUUAGUUGGUAUGUGUUAGAAAAUAAUGAUAUUUUCUUAAUCAUGAAAUUCGUUACCUAGUGAUAAUAAAAUUCGUAAAGAAGGAUGUAGAUACAUAUGCUACAAAAUUAUAUUCCUGUUCUCAUAAAUCAACCUGUAUGUCUGGUUUUUUAUUAUUUAUUAAUAAUUUGUAUGGUUUGUUACCUGAUGAAAGUAUAUACAUGUGUAAUUUGGUCAGAUUAUAAUCUCAGUUUGGUAAGUUUACAUAUUAGAUUACAUUUAACAGCCAUGGUAAUAGAUAAAAAAUUUCGAUCUUUGAUAAUGCCUAUUAAGGCAGGAAAAUACCUAUAAUUACAAAGACAGUUGCGUGCCUUAACACUGUUGUAGAUGAAAUUAUGUAGGUAUUACCUGUUACUGCAUUUUAAGAUUAGCUUAAGAAGCAUCAAUCGUAUCUUAUUAACCCUUCGAUCGCCCAAAGAUGUCAACUGACGCGCGAGCUGCGCGUGAGGCUACAACCUUAAUUUUAUAUAUCAACCUCGUACAUUCGGAGCAUGGUAUAAUAAUAUACUCCGCCUGGUACUCUCUUCCCGUCUUUUCUAGGUCACCUGACUGACACAAGCCUACGUCAUCAUGCGACAGCGCUAUAUGAUAAUAUGCGAUAGCGCUAUACAUAGCGGCCAUGUUAUUGUGACGUAGGCUUGUGUCACUCUGGGAAGAGAAGACCAUGUUUUAUUAGACUAUGAUUCGGAGAAGGUUCACAAUGACGCGCCGCGCACUAAGUAUAGGCGUAGCGCUUAAAGCCUCUUGAAUCAAAGGCAUAGAGGUACAAUAAUACUAGGUCUAUGGUCAAAGGAUAAAUUAAACGUACUUUUUAUCCCUGCCAAAGAUGGCGCUCCAUCAAUAUGCAUGCUUAUAACACCUUACUAUACUUUCAUUACUGUAUUAUGCUUGUGGCAUUGGCAGGGCAAGUUUAAUCUUACUUUUUGAAGUUAUACCUCGGGUAUGUAUAACUUAUAAAAUGAAGUACAUUUAAUUAUAAUACGUACAUGCAGCAAAAUACUGCAAAAAUAAUAAAUAUCGCCGUCUACAGCAAUUACAAGGCACGCGGGCCUGUACGCCCUUCGUAAUGUGAACAUACCUACGGUACUUAUAAUUUACCUAUGAGAUCAACGUUAUGACAAAUAAGUUUGAUGUUAUUUAAUUGGAUUGUUGUUAUAAUUUUUAUAGUUUGAAUAAAUAUUAGUUCUAAUA